CUUGACAAACCUAUAAGAGGUCCAGCCUGCCCAGUGACUCUGUUCAACGGCCGCGGUAUCCUAACCGUGCGAAGGUAGCGUAAUCACUUGUUCUUUAAAUGAGGACUAGUAUGAAUGGCACCACGAAGGUUAUACUGUCUCCUUUUUCUAAUCAGUGAAACUAAUCUUCCCGUGAAGAAACGGGAAUAAAAAUAUAAGACGAGAAGACCCUAUGGAGCUUUAAACAAAUAUACACCUGCCUCUUUACCAAAAAUUUCAGAAGACAAGUAAUUACCCGGGCAUUUUGAUAUAGCGUUUUAGGUUGGGGUGACCGCGGAGCAAAAAAUAACCUCCGCAGCGAACGGGGGUAUCCCCUAAACCAAGGGCCACAACCCUAAGUAUUAAUAAAUUAACACUAAUUGACCCAAUAAAUUUGAUCAAUGAAC
rnacentral:rRNA from 1 species